AAUAAAGAUGGUUAGUUUGAGUUUUGUAUACAACAACAAAAUAUAGUCUUUUGCGUGUAUUAGAGAUUUUGAUAGUUGUGUGUUUAGAGAAAGUUUUUUAUUUUUCCGUUCAAAAAUAGUAAUUUGGUGCGUUUACAAUUUUUUCUUUAAAAGUUGAUGUAUGACAGAGUUUAUAAUUUUGUCUUUGUAAAAAAUUACAA
rnacentral:lncRNA from 1 species